AGAGGAUUGGAUUGAGGGGUCAGAAUACCUGGGUCCCAGCCAAUGUCUGCCACCUAUUUUCUGUGACUUUACGGUAUCAGGCCCCAGAAGGGAUGGGGUGGUCAUCAGGCGCUGGCCAGGUCUGCUAGUCCCUAAAUCUGAAUUCAAGCUUGAGAGUUACUAGCAGGGACCUUAAUAGAACAAAGAGCCUCACCCCAGAAUUGUAUUCUCCGAGACAAGCGGCAGAGCCCGAAUUGUCUCUAUCACAUAAGUCUCUGGAGGGAGCACACACGUAGCUGGGAUGGCCGUUUUUCUCAGACCUAUUCCCUUUACUCCACUUCAUUCCCAGACUUCGGCUCCGGGAAGACUCCAGGCUCCAGGUGGGGCCAGCCAGGCGGAGGGGACCCCAGCAAAGGCAGGAAGCAGCACCGCAGGUGCCCAGCACAGAUCUUCCAGUGGGUGGGAAGAUGAAGAGUUUGAGGAGGGCCACCAGAAGAAAAAAGAGGAGAGGUCGGCAAACGUUCCGGUGAGGGCUGGGCCGGGAAGACCAGAGCGUGAGUCGAUGUAGAGUAUUCCUGGCGGUGCCUCUCCUUACUGCAAAUAUGGCACUCCCACCCCCACCCGCCUGCCUCCGCUUCUUAUGCCCAUCCCACCAUCCCGCCUUCCUGUUGUCAUUUCUUUGAGGCCUGGCACAACCUCGCGCCACCCCUGACCCUGGCUGUCCCAGUUCACAAGUCCCCAACAGCCCUCCCAUGAUUUCUGCUUGUCUCUCAAGGCCCUGGACCAUUUUCCCUGAACCCUUCCAGAACUCCCUCUUCCUUCCUGCUCUCAUGGCUUUC
rnacentral:sRNA from 1 species